AACGAACGCUGGCGGCAGGCUUAACACAUGCAAGUCGAACGCCCCGCAAGGGGAGUGGCAGACGGGUGAGUAACGCGUGGGAAUCUACCCAGAUCUUCGGAACAACUGAGGGAAACUUCAGCUAAUACCGGAUACGCCCUACGGGGGAAAGAUUUAUCGGUUCUGGAUGAGCCCGCGUUGGAUUAGCUAGUUGGUGAGGUAACGGCUCACCAAGGCGACGAUCCAUAGCUGGUCUGAGAGGAUGAUCAGCCACACUGGGACUGAGACACGGCCCAGACUCCUACGGGAGGCAGCAGUGGGGAAUAUUGGACAAUGGGCGAAAGCCUGAUCCAGCCAUGCCGCGUGAGUGAUGAAGGCCUUAGGGUUGUAAAGCUCUUUCAGUAGGGAAGAUAAUGACUGUAGUCGGAGAAUAAGCCCCGGCUAACUUCGUGCCAGCCGCCGCCGUAAGAC
rnacentral:rRNA from 1 species